rnacentral:rRNA from 1 species
GACGAACGCUGGCGGCGUGCUUAACACAUGCAAGUCGAGCGAUGAAGUCCCUUCGGGGACGGAUUAGCGGCGGACGGGUGAGUAACACGUGGGCAACCUGCCUCAAAGAGGGGGAUAGCCUCCCGAAAGGGAGAUUAAUACCGCAUAACAUUAGAGCAUCACAUGAUGUUUUAAUCAAAGGAGUAAUCCGCUUUGAGAUGGGCCCGCGGCACAUUAGCUAGUUGGUGAGGUAACGGCUCACCAAGGCAACGAUGCGUAGCCGACCUGAGAGGGUGAUCGGCCACAUUGGAACUGAGACACGGUCCAGACUCCUACGGGUGGCUG